CAAAUAUCAAUACCCACCAUACCUCCUAAACUCCAUUGAUAGCCCCAAAGCCUUAUUGUCUUCUUUGCCACACCGUAAGAGAAAGUACCCAAAUCUAAAAAUUGGGUUUGAGUUAAUGUUUUAGAUCUGAAAAUUUCCCUCUUAUAAGAGAAAAACUUUAUGGAAGAAACAUUGGAUGGUUUUAUAGUGCUUGAAAUCCAGUUGCUGCUUUGAUUCCCAAAUCGCACCUCGACUUCUCGACUGCUUGAAGGGAAAGCUGAACCCAAAUCCACCUCGACUGCUUGAAGCCAAAAAUUGGGAAAAGAUGAAAGGCAAAGUUUGCAACUGGAAUAACAAUGCAAAUAGCAAAUUUGUCGAACUGUAGAAUUCUUCGUUUACUGGUAGUGUAGGAAGAAAUCACUAUUGGUAGCUGAGGAGAAAUUGUUGUUGGUUGCUAAGGAAAAAAUUAUUAUUGGCUUGGUGAAGAAGUUUGGAAUCUGAAAUAUCUGUCAAUAAAACAGGCACUUUUUGAUUUGGCAGCUUUCAGAAAUUUCUAUCAGGAAUUUGAAUAGUCAUGAGUCAGGAAGGGCACUCAAGUAAAAAUAAAAAGGCUAAAAAUUGCAUUGCAGCCGGAUCACUUGCAUCUUUGCUGAACCAAAAGGUUUCAUCAUUGAAAACAAAAAGAAUUGUUCAAGCUACAAGGACAAAUGACAAGCAUCAACUGAAUUCAAUUGAAAGACAACUUCCGCAAUUAGGAGCUCAAGUGCAAGAACAAUUAUUGCAACUGCCUCUGUCUUCUGCUUCUCCUCCAGCACAAAUUGUACAUGAGCAAGUGUAGCAAAAGUCACUCAACUCUACCUCUCUUGCAUCACAAGCAGUACGUGAACAAUUGCAGCAAAAGUUACUGGAUUCCACUACUCGUACUUCACAAAUGGUACAUGAGAAAUUUGAGGGUUCUUUCAAUCAUAAAACAAACGAACAAUCCGAGGAAUAAG